AUGUCUGGAAUUCCUUAUUUAUAUCCCAUGCAAAAGAAGAGAAUCCAAGGCAAAGGCGAGAACAAUAAAAUUAAAAUUUCUUCCUUUUCGGAGGGAUUGCAGGUCUUCUUAAUCGUCUAUUCGGCACAAGAAAAAGCCUUUUUCUUGUGCCGAUUCUUCUGUAUCAAAAUAAGAAUCCUUUUUCUUCCUAAUUCGUCAUUACUAUUUCUUCUUUAUUCGGGUCUGUCUCUUGGACCUCUUUUUCUUUUGCUUAGGUUUAGCCGAGGUAGUGGACAAACAGAGGGGAAGAAAAUAUGGCGGGGGAAAAAUUUCUUGUGA
rnacentral:rRNA from 1 species